rnacentral:rRNA from 1 species
AUUGAACGCUGGCGGCAUGCUUUACACAUGCAAGUCGAACGGUAACAGGCCGCAAGGUGCUGACGAGUGGCGAACGGGUGAGUAAUGCAUCGGAACGUGCCCAGUCGUGGGGGAUAACGCAGCGAAAGCUGCGCUAAUACCGCAUACGAUCUAUGGAUGAAAGCGGGGGACCGUAAGGCCUCGUGCGAUUGGAGCGGCCGAUGUCAGAUUAGGUAGUUGGUGGGGUAAAGGCUCACCAAGCCAACGAUCUGUAGCUGGUCUGAGAGGACGACCAGCCACACUGGGACUGAGACACGGCCCAGACUCCUACGGGAGGCAGCAGUGGGGAAUUUUGGACAAUGGGCGCAAGCCUGAUCCAGCAAUGCCGCGUGCAGGAAGAAGGCCUUCGGGUUGUAAACUGCUUUUGUACGGAACGAAACGGCUCAGGUUAAUACCUGGGGCUAAUGACGGUACCGUAAGAAUAAGCACCGGCUAACUACGUGCCAGCAGCCGCGGUAACAC